rnacentral:rRNA from 1 species
UACGAGUGCCUCAAGCGUUAUCCGGAAUCAUUGGGCGUAAAGGGUGUGUAGGUGGCAAUAUUAGUCUUGUGUUAAAUCUACUGGCUCAACCGGUAGGCUGCAUGGGAAACGGUAUAGCUUAGAGGACGGUAGAGGUCUCUGGAACUCAUAGUGUAGCGGUAAAAUGCGUUGAUAUUAUGGGGAACACCAAAAGCGAAGGCAAGAGACUGGACCGCUCCUGACACUGAAACACGAAAGCGUGGGUCGCGAAUGGG